AUGAUUCAGGUAAGCGGGGCUCCCGGGGAGCGGGGAGUAGCAGUGGGGGCGCUCCGGGACGCCAGGGGGGUAGCGGGGUCCCUUUUUGUGCUGCGCUCGGGGGCUGUGAGCCAAAACCCUCAGUACUUCGGCCCAGGUACCCGGCUGUCGGUGCUAGGACCGUUUUGGGUGAGCAGCCGCGGGACCAGCAGUCCCGGAGGCGGGGUCAGCAGGGAAGGCGGCGGGACCCAGGGCUGUUCCCAGUCUCGGCACUUGGUCGCCUCCCGUUCGCUGGAACCGGGCUGGGACCCGGGGGCUGGAGGCGGCUGGGGCGCAGCGGGGUUUGCGUGUGGGGCUGGGUCUCUGUGCUCCUACGAGCAGUACUUCGGCCCCGGCACCAAGCUCACGGUCAUAGAGGACCUGAAGGAGGUGUUCCCACCCAAGGUGACUGUGUUUGAACCAUCGGAAGCAGAGAUCAGCCGGACCGAGAAGGCCACGCUCGUGUGCCUGGCCACAGACUUCUACCCUGACCACGUGGAGCUGAGCUGGUGGGUGAACGGGAAGGAGGUCCAGACUGGGGUCAGCACAGACCCUCAGCCCUACAAGGAGCAGCCCACCCAGAAAAACUCCAACUACUCUCUGAGCAGCCGGCUGAGGGUCUCUGCUGCCUUCUGGCACAACCCCCGCAACCACUUCCGCUGCCAAGUCCAGUUCUUCGGGCUCACGGACGGGGACAACUGGACACUGACUAGGGCCAAACCCAUCACCCAGAACAUCAGUGCUGAGGCCUCGGGCAGAGCAGAGUGUGGCGUCAGCUCAGUGUCCUAUCAGCAAGGGGUCCUGUCUGCCACCAUCCUCUAUGAGAUCCUGCUGGGGAAGGCCACCCUGUAUGCUGUGCUGGUCAGUGCCCUCGUGCUGAUGGCCAGGGUCAAGAAAAAGGAUUCCUGAGACCAGCUCUAAAAGUGCAUUCUGGAUCAUUCUUAAUCCUCACCCUAGAGUCUCCUUUACAUGCUUCCAAUCCCUGUUCCUAAGGAGCUAUUCUCUCUCUACCUUUCAUCUCCUUCCUACAUGUCUGUCCCUUCUCUCUGCUUCCCUGCAGAUUGAGCUCCUUAAUGCUGAAUCUGAAAUAGACUAAAUUAAUAAAAAUGUCAUGCUGGA